GUAAGGAAUAUUGGUCAAUGGACGAAAGUCUGAACCAGCCAUGCCGCGUGAAGGAUGAAGGCCCUCUGGGUUGUAAACUUCUUUUAUCUGGGACGAAAAAAGGGUAUUCUUACUCACUUGACGGUACCAGAGGAAUAAGCACCGGCUAACUCCGUGCCAGCAGCCGCGGUAAUACGGAGGGUGCAAGCGUUAUCCGGAUUCACUGGGUUUAAAGGGUGCGUAGGUGGGUAUUUAAGUCAGUGGUGAAAUCUCCGAGCUUAACUCGGAAACUGCCAUUGAUACUAUUUACCUUGAAUGCCCUGGAGGUAAGCGGAAUAUGUCAUGUAGCGGUGAAAUGCUUAGAUAUGACAUAGAACACCAAUUGCGAAGGCAGCUUACUACGGGGUGAUUGACACUGAGGCACGAAAGCGUGGGGAGCAAACAGGAUUAGAAACCCGAGUAGUCC
rnacentral:rRNA from 1 species